rnacentral:misc_RNA from 1 species
CAACCCUCAGGCCCCGCCUGGUGUUGGGGACCGGCCCCGGCCGCCCCCCAAACGCAGUGGCGACCCUCGCCGCGGCCUCCCCUGCGCAGUAGCACAACCUCGCACCGGAGCGCGGAGACGGUCACGCCGUAAAACGCCCAACUCACCCAG